rnacentral:rRNA from 1 species
AGGGUUUGAUCCUGGCUCAGAACAAACGCUGGCGGCGUGCCUAAUACAUGCAAGUCGAACGAAGAACGUCCUUCGGGGCUAUUAAGGGUGGCGCACGGGUGAGUAACGCGUGGAUAAUCUGCCUUUUAGUGGGGAACAACUAAGCGAAAGUCUAGCUAAUACCGCAUAAGACCACAGUGCCUGCGGGUACAGGGGUUAAAGAUUUAUCGCUAAAAGAUGAGUCCGCGUCCAAUUAGCUUGUUGGUGAGGUAAAGGCUCACCAAGGCUCUGAUUGGUAGCUGGUCUGAGAGGAUGAUCAGUCACACUGGAACUGAGACACGGUCCAGACUCCUACGGGAGGCAGCAGUAGGGAAUAUUGCGCAAUGGGGGAAACCCUGACGCAGCGACGCCGCGUGAGUGAUGAAGGCCUUCGGGUUGUAAAGCUCUGUUCUUAGGGAAUAAAAAAAUGAAGGUACCUAAGAAGAAAGGACCGGCUAACUUCGUGCCAGCAGCCGCGGUAAUACGAGGGGUCCUAGCGUUGUUCGGAAUUAUUGGGCGUAAAGCGGGUGCAGGUGGUUUUAUAAGUCAGAAGUGAAAGCCCCGGGCUCAACCCGGGAAGGGCUUUUGAUACUGUAGAACUUGAGUGUAGGAGAGGAUAGUAGAAUUCCUGGUGUAGUGGUGAAAUACGUAGAUAUCAGGAGGAAUACCGGUGAGGAAGCUGGCUGUCUGGCCUAACACUGACACUCAUACCCGAAAGCGUGGGGAGCAAACAGGAUUAGAUACCC